GGCGCGGAAAGAAAUGGGAAGGGGCGCGGGGCGGAGAGCGAAGUGGAAAGGAGGUGCUCCGAAAGGAGACAUAUACUGCCUGGACUUCCUGGCUGAUGUGAGCUAGUUUGUCUGGUUGAGUUGGAUGUUUAAAUAGAAGGCAGAACAACAACAGAAGCUUUGAGGAAGAGCCAUAACUACCUGGAGCAGAAUGAUAAUUUGGAGCCACAGAAAAUCAUUUUAGGGAGCAGUGGGUCCAGAUUCAGUGUUGUGUGUUCAACUCGGAAAGAACACACUUGUGUGGCUGACCGGGUUACUUCUCCCCUGUGCCUCUGCUUGCAUUGGUCAUUCUUAGGUCAGGCAGGGGUUUGGCCACAGUGUUAGACAUUGGCCCUGCAUUGAUCCUCACAUAGUAACAUCUUGUUUGGUUAUUAA